rnacentral:tRNA from 1 species
GGGCAUAGCUCAGUGGUAGAGCGUGUGCUUAGCAUGCAUGAGGUCCUGGGUUCAAUCCCCAGUAUGGCCA